GAAAACAAAACAAAACAAAGUAAAGUUAUAAAAUUAAGUCAGCACUGUCCUCCAGGCUUCCAAACACAGAAGACAGCAAGACAGAAGGACGUAGAGAAGUAACUGAACUAAAAAGGCAGAUGGCUCGGUCAUACAGAAAAUCAAUCUCAAAAGAGAAAAUGAUACUAGUAUACUGCCCAAAAUCACCAGAUGAUUUAGAAUAAUACUUGUAUUACUUAGACGUGACGUGACCCAUAAUCCACUGAUGUUCCACGAAUGUCAACUCGCACAGAAUAACCCUGACCACUCGUACCAAAACACACCGCAACCCAGUCUCAGAUAACAUAGGACACACAUAAUAACUAAGAAGCAGGCUUCACCGCCUCUGCAACAGAUCAUCGACUCAUUUAGUCGACCUCCUCGAUCUUGGGGCCAGCACCGCCGGAAGCAGCCGGGGUGUCGUCGUCCAUGCCGCCCUCCAUGUCGGCACCAGCGCCCUGGUACAUCUUGGCGAUGAUGGGGUUGCACAGGGCCUCCAGCUCCUUCAUCUUGUCCUCGAACUCGUCCGCCUCAGCGAGCUGGUUCGUGUCCAGCCACUGGAUGGCAGCGUCGAUGGCGUCCUCAAUCUUCUUCUUGUCGUCCGCUGGCAGCUUGGAG
rnacentral:lncRNA from 1 species